rnacentral:rRNA from 1 species
AAGGAUUCCCCUAGUAACUGCGAGUGAAGCGGGAAAAGCUCAAAUUUAAAAUCUGAUAGUCUUAGGCUGUCCGAGUUGUAAUCUAGAGAAGUGUUAUCCGCGCUGGACCGUGUACAAGUCUCCUGGAAUGGAGCGUCAUAGAGGGUGAGAAUCCCGUCUUUGACACGGACUACCAGGGCUUUGUGAUGCGCUCUCAAAGAGUCGAGUUGUUUGGGAAUGCAGCUCAAAAUGGGUGGUAAAUUCCAUCUAAAGCUAAAUAUUGGCGAGAGACCGAUAGCGAACAAGUACCGUGAGGGAAAGAUGAAAAGAACUUUGGAAAGAGAGUUAAACAGUACGUGAAAUUGCUGAAAGGGAAACGCUUGAAGUCAGUCGCGUUGACCAGGGAUCAACCUUGCUCUUGCUGGGUGUACUUUCUGGUUAACGGGUCAACAUCAAUUUUGAUUGUUGGAAAAAGAUCAAGGGAAUGUAGCAUCUUCGGAUGUGUUAUAGCCUUUGGUUAUAUACAACAAUUGGGAUUGAGGAACUCAGCACGCCGAAAGGCCGGGUUUUUAACCACGUUCGUGCUUAGGAUGUUGGCAUAAUGGCUUUAAUCGACCCGUCUUGAAACACGGACCAAGGAGUCUAACAUGCCUGCGAGUGUUUGGGUGGAAAACCCGAGCGCGUAAUGAAAGUGAAAGUUGAGAUCCCUGUCGCGGGGAGCAUCGACGCCCGGACCAGAAAUUUAUGGACGGUUCCGCGGUAGAGCAUGUAUGUUGGGACCCGAAAGAUGGUGAACUAUGCCUGAAUAGGGUGAAGCCAGAGGAAACUCUGGUGGAGGCUCGUAGCGAUUCUGACGUGCAAAUCGAUCGUCAAAUUUGGGUAUAGGGGCGAAAGACUAAUCG